GAUGAACGCUGGCGGCGUGCCUAAUACAUGCAAGUAGAACGCUGAAGGAGGAGCUUGCUCUUCUGGAUGAGUUGCGAACGGGUGAGUAACGCGUAGGUAACCUGCCUGGUAGCGGGGGAUAACUAUUGGAAACGAUAGCUAAUACCGCAUGACGACAGUUAUUGCAUGAUAACUGUUUAAAAGGGGCAACUGCUCCACUACCAGAUGGACCUGCGUUGUAUUAGCUAGUUGGUGAGGUAACGGCUCACCAAGGCGACGAUACAUAGCCGACCUGAGAGGGUGAUCGGCCACACUGGGACUGAGACACGGCCCAGACUCCUACGGGAGGCAGCAGUAGGGAAUCUUCGGCAAUGGACGGAAGUCUGACCGAGCAACGCCGCGUGAGUGAAGAAGGUUUUCGGAUCGUAAAGCUCUGUUGUAAGAGAAGAACGAGUGUGAGAGUGGAAAGUUCACACUGUGACGGUAUCUUACCAGAAAGGGACGGCUAACUACGUG
rnacentral:rRNA from 1 species